GGUUCCAGGAAAUAGCCCCACCGUAUAGACCGUACCCGAAACCGACACAGGUGGUCAGGUAGAGUAUACCAAGGCGUUUGAGAGAAGUAUCCUGAAGGAACUCUGCAAAUUGCCUCCGUACCUUCGGAAGAAGGAGGCCCUCACAUUGCGCAAGCAGUAUGAGGGGGCACAGGCCAGGGGGUAGCGACUGUUUAGCAAAAACACAGGACUCUGCUAAGUCGGCUUCAAGACGACGUAUAGGGUCUGACGCCUGCCCGGUGCUGGAAGGUUAAGAGGAGGAGUGCAAGCUCUGAAUUGAAGCCCCAGUAAACGGCGGCCGUAACAAUAACGGUCCUAAGGUAGCGAAAUUCCUUGUCGGGUAAGUUCCGACCUGCACGAAUGGCGUAACGACUUCCCCACUGUCUCCAGGAUAUGCUCAGCGAAAUUGAAUUCUCCGUGAAGAUGCGGAGUACCCGCGGUUAGACGGAAAGACCCCGUGCACCUUUACUGCAGCUUCAGAGUGGCAUUAGGAAAGAACUGUGUAUAAUAGGUGGGAGGCUUUGAAACUUGGGCGCCAGUCCGAGUGGAGCCGAAAUGUGAAAUACCACCCUGUUGUCUUCUGAUGUCUAACCCAGAUCCGUUAUCCGGAUCGGGGACCCUCUGUGGCGGGUAGUUUGACUGGGGCGGUCGCCUCCUAAAGAGUAACGGAGGCGCGCGAUGGUAGGCUCAGGACGGUUGGAAACCGUCUGCGAGAGUGCAAUGGCAUAAGCCUGCCUGACUGCGAGACUGACGAGUCGAGCAGAGACGAAAGUCGGUCAUAGUGAUCCGGUGGUCCCUCGUGGAAGGGCCAUCGCUCAACGGAUAAAAGGUGCGCCGGGGAUAACAGGCUGAUGAUUCCCAAGAGCUCAUAUCGACGGAAUCGUUUGGCACCUCGAUGUCGGCUCAUCACAUCCUGGGGCUGGAGCAGGUCCCAAGGGUUUGGCUGUUCGCCAAUUAAAGUGGUAUGUGAGCUGGGUUCAGAACGUCGCGAGACAGUUUGAUCCCUAUCUGCCGUGGGCGUCGAAAUUUGAGAGGAGUUGACCCUAGUACGAGAGGACCGGGUUGAACAUACCUCUGGUGUACCUGUCGUGGCGCCAGCCGCGCAGCAGGGUAGCUAUGUAUGGACGGGAUAACCGCUGAAAGCAUCUAAGCGGGAAGCCUCCCUCGAGAUUAGAUUUCAUCGAGUCGUAGUAGACCACUACGUUGAUAGGUUGGGUGUGGAAGCGCAGUAAUGCGUGAAGCUAACCAAUCCUAAUUACUC
rnacentral:rRNA from 1 species